AACGAACGCUGGCGGCAGGCCUAACACAUGCAAGUCGAACGCGAAGAUACCUUUCGGGGUAUCGUUAGCGUGGCGCACGGGUGAGUAACGCGUGGGAAUCUACCUUUCGGCGGGGGAUAACUUCAAGAAAUUGGAGCUAAUACCGCAUAAGCCCUUUUUAGGGGAAAGAUUUAUCACCGAAAGAUGAGCCCGCGUCGGAUUAGUUAGUCGGUAGGGUAACGGCCUACCGAGACGAUGAUCCGUAGCCGGUCUGAGAGGACGAUCGGCCACACCGGGACUGAGACACGGCCCGGACUCCUACGGGAGGCAGCAGUGGGGAAUAUUGGACAAUGGCGCAAGCCUGAUCCAGCCAUGCCGCGUGAGUGACGAAGGCC
rnacentral:rRNA from 1 species